CAAAACCCACUGGAAAAAAAAAAAAAAUCUGUGACUCUCUUCUUGUCUUCUUCCUAGGGAAACCAUGGCAAACAAGACCCAAGGCUGUAGGGUUUUUUUUUCCCCCUCAAUUCUUUAGAAUUAUUCACUCUUCCUUCUUCUGGAGAAAAGAAAACAGAAAAUGCAAUGUUGGGUCUUAGUCAGGCAUAGUGACCACUUCUCUCCAGUGACUACAGAAGUGCAGGGUUUGUCAGCAGCAGCUGGAAUCACUGAAGAAGACUUGGGAUGCUACAGCAGUCAGAAAGCCUAAAGUGGGCACCCCAGGCAGUCAGCUGGAGUGUAAGGAAGGAAAACAACCGAGAUGCAGCUGUACUGCUUACAAUAUUCCCUAGCUAGGAUAUCUGCAGCACACGGGAGUGUCUGCACAGAACCUGAUGAUCCUCGUGUUUGUGUCAGCAGACCUGCAUGGCUGGUCAAAAUUACUUUUCAGAGCAACAAUUCUGAAGCACCAUCUGCAAAGCACAAGAAUGCAUCAUACCAUGAGAGUACAAAAUAUAUGCGUCUCCAUCCAAGAUACUGGGCUAUCUCCCCCUGCCAUAUGCUUUAACUGCUAAGCUAAGUUCCCUUUCCUGAGCAGGUGCCAAACAGUAAAAACAGCAUAACCCCUUGAGUUACAUCCAGGGUUCCUGGGUCUUCAAGUGAUCAUGAUUCAAUGGCUGAAAAUUUAAAUGAACGUGCAGUAUUCAUGGCUGACUGUGUAGGUAAAGAGAACUAGAAAGAAGGAAUAAGAAGAUAGUAACCUGAAAUAGGCUUCAGCUUUCUUUUUACUUUUUACUUUUUAUUUUAUUUAUUUUAUUUUAUUUAUUUUAUAUUUUAUUUUAUUUUAUUUUAUUAAUGUUGGACUCCUGUGUCUCACAAAGCAGGAGGAAACUCACAGAGGGAUUAAGGAGAGAGCAUACAACAACAUCAGCUAAGGGCUAAAAAAAACUUGUUUAAUUUAAAGAUGCUCCAAUUCACUGUCACUUCCUUAUUUAAAAAAAAAAUAUAUUCAAAAAUCGGAAUUGAAGAAAGAAACUGAUAAUAAUUAACAGAGAUUUUUCCUAGAAUUCACUGGAGAAAGAGAUACCCCAUGAAGUUUCUAAGCCAACAUAACAAGUCUAAUGGAGACUCCCGGCCCCCUUUGCAUGCUGUGUUACUUUUAAAUGUUUUUAAUCUAAUCAAAAUGCUCAGUUCUGCACUUGGGUCUAUAUUUUCAAACCAGAAAAACUAAAAUUAGGUGAAUAAUAUUUACUCCAAUGUCUUUACUGAGGAAUUAAUGUUUAUUCUCGAUCACUUUUUAUCCAAAUUCAAUAAUAUGGGAUUACACUUUCACUGGAAUGAAGGUUUAACAAGCACAGGAAAGAAACCUGGAACAAUCAUUAAAUAAUUACAAAAAACACCAUCCCUUUAAGCAGUACCAGACAACUCCCACGGGGGAUUCAGAGGAAGACCCUGAUGCAAAAUUAGUGGAAAUCCAGCACCAGCACUGAGAAGUAUCGGCCUUGACUCUACACCAUGUACCAGGAAAAAUUAUCUCACAGAACAGAAGUCUCUGUGCUCUCUUCUAUACAUGAGAAGCAUGUUCUUUGCUGGAAAAUCCCACCCCGACUUUGGUCCUUAUGGAUACUUCAUUUGUAGUGCAAAAAAGGUUGCUCCACUUCACCCAGAAAGUGGGUAGUAGAACUCAGCAAUGGGGGGGAUUUGGGUGGUUAGGGCCUCAGGAUAACAUAAAUACUAGCUCUUCUGAAGCACCUUCCACAUGAUGGCAGGCACAAAGAGGGCUGCAAGGAUACAGGAAGGACAAAUUAGAGAAGGGAUCAACUCAGAAACACCACUGCGGUUUGAGCCUUCGUGUGUCUUCCUCCACUACUGAACAUAGCCGUUGCCAUAAGGCAGCUGAGCAGGCUUCCAGCCAGCCCUGUUUAUUUGCCCAGCGUCUAACACAUGAUUUCUGCAAUCGUGUAACUUUAAUCAAAUCUUCAGGAAGAACGUGAAGACCUAACGAGGGAAAAGCAGAGGCACAAUUUUCACUAUGAGUCAAGAAUGGACGAAGAGGGAGAGAGGCUACCACUGAGGGCUCCUGACCUAGUUCUAAAACGAUGCCUUGGGAACUGCCUGCAGUCCAGCAGUGCCUUAUGGCACUCAGAUAUCAUUUGAGAUAGGCAGUGGACCACAGGAGAAGGGAUGUGCAUCCAGUGAAGAAGAACAGGUUAUUCUCUCCCAUGCAGCAGCCCUAACUUCAGCACCUACUAUAUCAAAUCUCUGAAUUCCCUUAUUUCGGGCAAGCAGGUGAGAGAUUCCAUGUUUUCUGGAGCUUUAAUCAUUUCCACUGCUGUUCUUCCGAUUUUCUUCUGAAAAUGCAAUGCCUCAAAAUGGACAAAAUAUGAGAGACCUUGCUAGUACUGAGCAAAAGGGAAGAAGAACUUGACAAGACAUGCAUGCUGGAUUCCUAUUUUUUAUCCCAGGAUGAUGAUGGCUUUUUUUUUGUUUUGUUUUGUUUUGUUUUUUGGCAGUUUAUAGCCAAAGAAAUUAGACUUCUUUUCCUGGCUCAAUAUGCUGCAGCCCCUCUCAAAUUUGCUUGUUUUCAAAUGUGCUGAACACAGUUUCUAUGCCAUAGUUGAGAUUGUUAAUGAAAACCGACUGGGGUCACUGACACUCAGCUGCUCUUUUUCAAUAUAGUGAAACAUGUCAUUUGAUGGUGGGAAAACACAGAAAGCACAGUUUUCUUUUUUACCUCUGAUUAUAUGUGUCAUCUGUUCUAUGUCUUGGUACUGUUAUUUGUAAAGAAAUUACCUGCAACAGGUCUGCAUUUUUCACAUCCCAAAUUUACCAAAAUGUAAGGUUUGAAGCCUGGCUUUUCCUUUUAUAGAGUUUCAUUUUUAUUUGCUUUGUUUCUCUGUACAGAAUGAGUGCAAUCAAGGGGAAUAUCCAUUAAAGUUAAAGGAGGAAGGGACUUAUAUGAGACAUGAGAAUUAUUUGUUAAAACCACUGUCUUCUCAGUAAAUAUAUCCAAGGCUAGGAAGUGACUUGUUAUGUAAGGAUUCUCUGUCCCUCCAAUUGGCAAGAGUGAAUGUAUCAUAAGAAAUAAAAACAAAACAGAAAGAAUUUUCAGCAAACUAUAGGAAGAAAAAAAUUCUCUUGUAAUUCAAAUGAAUGUCAGGAGGGAAGUCUGCCAUAACAAAUUUAUCUGUAGGUAAAACAAAUGUUUAAAUAUACAGCUGAGUUUUAAAUAUAAAGCAUUGGAAAACAUUUGCUUAAAACAUUUCAUUAAACAUCUCAGUUCAUUUUUCCAUUAUCUUUUCAUAGUUAAAUCAAACUCCCACAGGAAAAAAAGAGUAUAGGAGGCUGUGUUCUUUCUUCCCUAAGUGGACACCUG
ensembl:lncRNA